rnacentral:lncRNA from 1 species
UUUUUUUUUUUUUUUUUAGGGUCGCACUCAUGGCACAUGGAGGUUCCCAGGCUAGGGGUCUAAUUGCAGCUACAGCUGCCAGCCUAUGCCACAGCCACAGCCAUACCAGAUCCCCGACCCGCCAAGUGAAGCCAGAGCUUGAACCCACAUCCUCUUGGAUACUAGUUGUAUUCGUUCCCAUUGCACCACAACAGGAACUCCUUGGUCCUCAUUCCUUGAGCAAGGAGACUUCGCUGUUGUUCAGUAAACCCUGGACAUGCAGACCCCAGCCCUCCCGAUUCCCAGCCAUAGCCCAGUGCCCGGCUCCUCAGCAAACCCCGCACUCAGUCUCUGACACUAAGCCCAAAUGUUAGGCUCAAUUCUUUCACUGGAGAGACUGGGAAAUGAGGUGGAAGAACCAGCAGGUUGAUUAGCUCUAGAGCCAGGCACAGUGCUAGGAGCUUCCGACUCAUUCCAUCUUAAUCAUAAAUCCUAUGAAUCAGACCUUAUAGAUGAAAGCAUUGAGGCUCAAAGAGGUUGUGAUUUUGCCCUUGCCACAUCGCUAGAAAGUGCAAGCAAUACUAGGUCUUUCUCAAUUCACAAACCUUUGCUCUUCUCCAACCCGGUGCUCCUAAGAAGUCGAAGCUCAUCUGUAAACCCCUCGUCAAUGCCAAGCCCAGAUCCCUAGACCGUUUGAAGAUAGCACGUAUGCCUAUCUGGAAAAAGUCUGCCACUUAGAAACUAGGUUUACAGGGGGGUGUUUGAACCCAUAUGUCAGGCAGUGUCAGGUCUCGCUUCCAAAAUCAGAAGAUGCUGAGGAAGCAAAUCUCACAGGUAAAAGGUACUUAUCAUGUACCUCCCAGCAUCUGCAUUGUACGCUUUGCUUUCCCAUUCCUCAGAGUCUUCCCUAGACCUUGGCCAAGACUGUAGAGUCUGCUCUAUAGCCUGGAAAAGGAGAGCAUUUUUUUUUUUUUGUCUUUUUGCUAUUUCUUGGGCCGCUCUGGGGGCAUAUGGAGGUUCCCAGGCUAGGGGUCGGAGCUGCAGCCACCAGCCUACGCCAGAGCCACAGCAACGUGGGAUCCGAGCCGCAUCUGCAACCUACACCACAGCUCGCGGCAACGCUGGAUCCUUAACCCACUGAGCAAGGGCAGGGACCGAACCCGAAACCUCAUGGUUCCUAGUCGGAUUUGUUAACCACUGCGCCACGGCGGGAACUCCAGGAGAGCAUUUUUAUGGCCUGACUUAAAGAAGAAAUAACAGACCAAAGAAAUUAAAAAUCCAACCAGGGGCGUUCCAUGGUGGUCUAGUGGUUAGGAUUUGGCGAUUUCACCACUGCAGCCCAGGUUCAAUCCCUGGUCUGGGAAUUGAUUUCCCACAUCAAGCUCCUGCAUGCUGUGGCCAAAAAUAUAAAGUAAAAUUAAAAGAAAAAUCCAACCAGAAGCCAAUUAUGUAAUUGACAAAGUUCUAUUUUCUUCAUUCAAAUAGGGCGCUAAAUUUUCAAUAUAAGCCUGUGGUUCGCCUUGAGGUUGCCUAGUCUACUUCAGCCCAAGUUCUCAGGUUGACAUUCAUUGCCAGCAAAAGUUCCGACCCAUGACUCCAGGAAGGGCGACUCACACAUUCUGUAAAGGCAGGACCAGCCUCCACCGCUGUACGGGGAGCCCUGCCCACGUUCCCCAGAGGCAGACUAGAACCAGCUAUGACAAACCUCUCUCAGUAACUAAUGGAACAGGCAGAUAAAAGAUUAAUUAAAAAAAAAGAAACAAUUUGAAACAACAUGGUUAACCAACAUGUGAUCUAAUUGGCAUAUUUAGAAUACUUUACCCAGUAUCUGGAGAAUAUACACUCUUUCUAAGUGAUUGUGAAAUAUUUACCAAAAUAGAUCAUCAACUGGGCCAUAAAAUAAGUUUCAACAACUUUUAAAAGGUUGAACGCAGAAUAUUUUCUUUGAUGAGGGUAGCAUUAAAUGAGAAAUCAAUACCAGAAAAAUAAAUAGAAAAUCGCCAAACUUUAGAAAUUAAGCAGCACACAUUUAAAUGAUUCAUAGGUCAUAGAAGAAAUCAAAAUAGAAACUAGAGAAUAUUUUGAACCGAGUGAGAAAACAAUGUAUCGAAACUUGUGGAAUGCAGCUAAAGCAGUGCUUAAAGGGACGUUUAUGGAACUACAUGCAUAUAAUAAAGUAUAAGAAAAUAUAGUACUUAUGGCAUAUAUUUUAAGGGAAGAAAGAUUGAAAAUUAAUGACAUGUUUCCAUCUCAAGAAGCUUGGGAGAAAAAACCCAGCAAAUUAAGCACAAGAAAAAUAGAAGGAAAGCUAUAAAAUAAAUGCAGAAAACAAUGACAUAUAGAAUAUACAUACAAUGGAGAAAAAUCAAAGUUGGCAGUUUGAAAAGAUUAAUAAAAUUCAUAAACACCUAACAAGAUUGAUUUUUUAUUUUUUAAUUUAAUUUUUUGGAAUAUAGUUGAUUUACAAUGUUGUGUUUCAGGUGUAGAGCAAAAUGCUUCUCUUAUACAUAUACCCAUUCUUUUUCAGAUUCUUUCCCCAGAUAGGCCAUUACAAAAUAUUGAGUAAUGUUCCCUGUGAUAUAUACAAUUUUUAUAUACAAUAAUGUGUAUAUGUUAAUCCCAAACUCCUAAUUUAUUCCCUUUUGGUAACC